UGAAAAACUAAAUGUAACUAGGCCAAAAU
rnacentral:sRNA from 1 species